AGUGAACGCUGGCGGCAGGCCUAACACAUGCAAGUCGAACGAGUGGCGGCCGGGUUAGUAAUACAUCGGAAUCUGCUCUGUAGUGGGGGAUAACGUCUGGAAACUUACGCUAAUACCGCAUACGAUUGGAUGAGCCGAUGUCGGAUUAGCUAGUUGGCGGGGUAAAGGCACACCAAGUCGACGAUCCGUAGCUGGUCUGAGAGGAUGAUCAGCCACACUGGAACUGAGAUACGGUCCAGACUCCUACGGGAGGCAGCAGUGGGGAAUAUUGGACAAUGGGCGCAAGCCUGAUCCAGCCAUACCGCGUGGGUGAAGAAGGCCUUCGGGUUGUAAAGUCCUUUUGUUGGGAAAGCGGUACCCAAAGAAUAAGCACCGGCUAACUUCGUGCCAGCAGCCGCGGUAAUAC
rnacentral:rRNA from 1 species